rnacentral:rRNA from 1 species
AUUGAACGCUGGCGGCAGGCCUAACGCAUGCAAGUCGAGCGGAUGAAGGGAGCUUGCUCCUGGAUUCAGCGGCGGACGGGUGAGUAAUGCCUAGGAAUCUGCCUGGUAGUGGGGGAUAACGUCCGGAAACGGGCGCUAAUACCGCAUACGUCCUGAGGGAGAAAGUGGGGGAUCUUCGGACCUCACGCUAUCAGAUGAGCCUAGGUCGGAUUAGCUAGUUGGUGGGGUAAAGGCCUACCAAGGCGACGAUCCGUAACUGGUCUGAGAGGAUGAUCAGUCACACUGGAACUGAGACACGGUCCAGACUCCUACGGGAGGCAGCAGUGGGGAAUAUUGGACAAUGGGCGAAAGCCUGAUCCAGCCAUGCCGCGUGUGUGAAGAAGGUCUUCGGAUUGUAAAGCACUUUAAGUUGGGAGGAAGGGCAGUAAGUUAAUACCUUGCCGUUUUGACGUUACCAACAGAAUAAGCACCGGCUAACUUCGUG